UACGUAGGGUGCGAGCGUUGUCCGGAAUUAUUGGGCGUAAAGAGCUCGGUAGGCGGUUUGUCGCGUCGGGAGUGAAAACCUCGGGCUUAACUCGGGGCUUGCUUUCGAUACGGGCAGACUAGAGGUAUGCAGGGGAGAACGGAAUUCCUGGUGUAGCGGUGAAAUGCGCAGAUAUCAGGAGGAACACCGGUGGCGAAGGCGGUUCUCUGGGCAUGAUCUGACGCUGAGGAGCGAAAGUGUGGGGAGCGAACAGG
rnacentral:rRNA from 1 species